rnacentral:rRNA from 1 species
AUGGCAUCUCGAACAAGAACCACCACGUCUCUCCUCAUCUUCGUCCUCGCCACCACGGUUGCCACGUCUACAUCGUCCACAAAUGCUGCCCCCACUCCGCCGUCACCAAAGGCACCGCCUCCCCCACCACCACCACCAUCGCCGCCGCCGUGCGUGGUACCACAGUCGGUCGCAGCGUUCCUCCGCGCGCGAUGCGCCACCACGCUAUACCGAGUGACCUGCUACAACACUCUCAUCCCCUACGGCUGCGUGUUCCAGACAAACCCUGUCAAGCUCGCCAGGGCCGCCGUCGACCUCAACGUGGCCCAGCUCCGCGCCCUCUCCACGCGCGUGAAGGAGGUUGUUGCCCGUGGCGGCAUGGGCCAGCCGGGAGGACCUGCCUACGCGGUGCGGGACUGCGCGGGUACGGUGUCAUCGGCGGCCGGGCUGGCCAAGAAAUCGGGGGACGAGAUCGACAAGCUCGAGGCGGCGGGUAGCAAUGCGACCGUGACUCAGGUCAGGUGGGCGAUCUCCAACGCACAGACGUGGCUCAGCGCGGCCAUGGCCAACGAGGCCACAUGCACCGAAGGGCUCGCCCCAUGGGGGGCCGCCGCCGUCGCGAAGGAGCUUGUUGCCCGGACGGUGAUUGCCAUGGAGAGCACGAGCGUCGCCCUCGCGCUGGUCAAUGGCAUGCCACGCUAA